AGUGGCCCCACGGUGCUAUUACACCCACAGUAAGAAACCCUGGCCAGCUAUGGCUCCAAGCUAGGCUCUGGGUGCAGCCUGACAAGAAUCUCUUCCUACUGGACCUGGCAGGUCAGUGUUCAGUCUUCUGCAUCUUGGUGCCUGAGCUUAGGGUGCCCAUGGUAUGUGCUGGGCCUGCAGUGGCCGAGGUUCUGGGUAGAGAGCCUGGAAUCCAUGGUGUGGAGGCAGAAGAAACACCUUUGGCCCCUCUUGUUUGCCGUACCCUUAUGCCAACCAGAAAGAUAAUUGUCCUUGUGGAGCCCCAAAACAUAGGACUGGUUCCUGAGUGUAAGAUAAAUGUAAAAGAGGUAGGAGGUGACCUCAGUUGGUGUGACUUUGGCUGCUGACAUUAAAGGUGGUAGUGGUGGCAGUAGCAAAUCACAAACUGCAGUGUCUAAUGUGUACCUGACGCGGUGCUAGGAGCUUCAAGUGCACUGACUUGUUUUAGCUACGCCUCCCAUCAACCCCUUCAGCUAAACCCAGUUAUUCCUUGUUUAUAGAAUUUAAAUAGCUUGCAUGGGGUCAAAGGGCUAGAAAAUGUCGGUCAAUAAGUUUUCAACCUUGUCUGCACCUGCAGAAUCACAGACAGCUAGACAGCUUGGCUUAUCCAGAGAGCCCCAUGUUCCGGGGCUGGUGUGAGCAUUUGCACUUCUAACAGCUCCCCAGGAGCUGCUGGGCUCUGGGUCCAGGAGCCACAUUUUCAGACUCAUUGAUGUGCUGUCAUAGGAGGUCCCCGUGAAACUGGCUGGAAAUAGGAUUUAUAUAGCAAAGAAGCCCACAGGCCUUGAUACAAGGGCUGGCAGUAGCUCUUCAAAGUGUAAGGACCCAGUCCUGCUCCUUUGUGUCACUCCGCCACAGGCUGUAUACCUCUCUUGACAUCAGGCUCCCUUGUGUGGCCGCAAGAUAUCUGUGUGCAUUCCAGUUGGCACACACUAUAGGGCCCUAUCCAGCAGCACACUGUAGGGCCCUAUCCAGCAGCACACUGUAGGGCCCUGUUCUUACUGUGUGUCUCUUUAAGAGUGAAGGAACCUUUAAUUUAUGCCCCACCUCCUGAUUCCUCUCAGGUCUCCUGGGAUAGCGUUGUGACAAAUAACCUAACACAUAACCCUGCCUGGACAAAUCAGAGGCCAGGGCCAAUCAGGGUUCAUUCCUUUGGGUUGGGGGCGUGGCUGUGGGGAUAGAGUCAGAGCACUGCUCAGGAAGAGACAGUGAGUGGAUUGGCUGUAGAAACGGUGGAAGAUUAGGACACGGCAUCAAGCAUGUUCCUGUUCUUGUUUCCCUUAUGAGAUUCCUAAUAACCUCAUUGACUUAGCUGCAGGCUCUUUAAUCAUGUCCCCUUGAAAACCUGUGCACAGUCCCUAUCCCCAAGGAGCCCUGAAUUGUGUUGGCUACCAAACAUUUUUGUCUGAAAAUUUAGGGACACUCAAGUUGGGCAGCAACACUGGAGGUGAGUGUGCAUGCUUUUUGAGAGCUCACUCUGCUCCUCCCCUGCACCCCCCCCCCCACUUCUGACUGAGAUGCUUCUUUCUCACAGAGGCUCAUCUCUGAGGGCCCUGGAGGGCUGGUGCAUGAAUGAGAGGAGACAUGCAGGUGAAGUGCAGAUUGCCAGUGGCCAGCUCAAGGUUGUGAGCUCUGACAUCCCAUCCCCAACCAUCUCUGAGAGCGAUACUCCUUUUGUAGACUGUGACUACCUGCCUGUGGACAGCGGUUGCCCUGAGAGACAGCAGCAAGGCUGAGGAAUGUAGCCCAGCCUGUGAGCAAAUCCUGGGUCCUCCUUGGCCCCCUAUUGAUCUUGGGCAAGCCCCCGGGCCCCACAGUGUCCGUUUCUGUUUCUGUAAGGUGGAGCCGGGAACGAUCCAUCCUCCUAAAUUGGAGGGAUUGAGGUUUGUGAAAUCCUGUGACAUGUUCAACAUGCCCCAUGGGCGUGGAUCUGUUGGUUGCAGGGGUUUUUUUGUUUGUUUGUUUUUUGUUUUUUGUUUUUGUUUUUGCCAGUUUAUUCUCAGGUGACUGAAAGUCCCCUGCAUGCAAGAGCAGCAUGGUUCUUGUUUACCACAGUGUCUGGUUCAGAAUGCAUACUCCAAUUUGUUUGAUGAAGACUGUAGCAAGAGUCUUGCCUUUUAAUUUUGGUUUGCUGUGACAGUGUCUAAUGCUGUAGACCAGUCUGAGCUUGAGCUCAGAGCAAUUCCUCUUGCCUCAGCCUCCCAAAUGCUGAGAUUACAGGCAGGUGCCAUCACACCUAGCAAUAGUCUUUAUAUAUUUCCACCAGAUGGCCAGAGGUUAAGCUCCAUAAGUGUGAGCCAGUUGUUUUCCAUUUUGAAGGCUCAGGUGUGAGCAGCUUGUAAUAACACAGCUGAGGGUUUUUGAACUGUUUGGUUGGUUUUUUUUUUUUUUUUUUUUGAGACAGUUUCAUAUAGCUCAGGCUAGUCUUGAACGUGCUUAUGUAGCUGUGAAUGGCCUUGACCUGCUCCUACCCCCCUCUUCCAAUGCUGAGAUUAUAGUCAUAAACUACUGUACCCCAUUUGUUAUUGAGCAUUUUAAUGGGCCAGAGCUGUGAUCUCACUGCCUGCUGUCACUAACCCAAGGUGGCCGCGGCUCUUUCCAGGGGCAGAUUAGCACAGUGGUCAAAAGCUGGAACCUGCUUUGCUUGGGUAAUCACCUCUUGUUGUGUGACCUCCAUCCUGUGACAGGCAUGAUGGUGGCUCUGACAUAGGGGUUGCCUGUGGGGCUCUGGAUAGGUUGCAAUGUUUAGAGCGGCACUCCCCCCGCCCCCCAGCUGUGCUUCCAAAGCUGGCUGGAGAGUCUCGCCACAAGGUUUAAUCAUUAAGCCCGCAUGCAGCCUCUGCAGCUAGCACGGUGAGGGGCCCACCUGUGGCUGGGCAGGCUAUGAAUGAAGCUGCCGGGCGCAGGACGGGGGAUGCUGUGGCACGGAUCCAGCCCCGGCUCAGCACUGAACAGGUGGCCUGUUCCUGAAUGGGAGGUAACAGUCAAGCUUUGUUACCUCUGCUCUUUCUCCCCAACUCAUUCAGACCCAUGACCACGUGUCUGAUGAGUAAGGGAUCCUUUUAUUUCCCUUCCCCAAAGGGAAUAUUGGCAAAACAGCCUCUCUGGGAAUGUGCCUGUGUGCAGAGAGCCAUCUCUAGGGGAACUCCGGUAGCUGGUGUGGCCUCGAGGCCGCUGAAUAAGUUUUAAGUCUCUGUUAGAAGCUGGCACGGCUGGUUCCCGUUUCCGCAUUCCAAACACCCACAGCGCCAGAGGAGGCACCACCCUGGGUCAGCCUAGGGAGCUGGGGCAGGUGGCCCGUGCCUAGGGAAAACCAGGGACAGAAGCCACACCUGGGUCCAACCUAGUAGCCACCAGCCACCAGCCACCAGCCGGCAUUGUGAUCAGGGCUGUGUUCCAGGACUCCUGGUGCAUCGCCUUUGACCUUGGCUCUGCCUUUGACCUAGGCUCUCGUGAGACCUGAAAGGCACACUGGGCAAACUGAGCAUGGCUGGGAAGAUGCCUGCCCCACCCACACAGCAUGGCCUGCAGCC